rnacentral:rRNA from 1 species
GACGAACGCUGGCGGCGUGCUUAACACAUGCAAGUCGAACGGAAAGGCCCUGCUUUUGCGGGGUUCUCGAGUGGCGAACGGGUGAGUAACACGUGAGUAACCUGCCCUUGACUUUGGGAUAACUUCAGGAAACUGGGGCUAAUACCGGAUAGGAGCUCCUGCAGCAUGGGGGGGGUUGGAAAAUUUCGGCGGUUGGGGCUGGACUCGCGGCUUAUCCGCUUGUUGGUGGGGUAGUGGCUUACCAAGGCUUUGACGGGUAGCCGGCCUGAGAGGGUGACCGGCCACAAUGGGACUGCGAUACGGCCCAGACUCCUACGGGAGGCAGUAGUGGGGAAUAUUGCACAAUGGGCGGAAGCCUGAUGCAGAAACGCCGCGUGCGGGAUGACGGCCUUCGGGUUGUAAACCGCUUUCGCCUGUGACGAAGCGUGAGUGACGGUAAUGGGUAAAGAAGCACCGGCUAACUACGUG